UGACGUUUAAAGGCCCCCGGCCCGCUGCAUUGGGAAGGUGAGCUUUCAGGGCGGCUGAAUGUGCAGGUGCUCAAAGGUUGCGUGGAGAACGAUUGAGAUGGCAUCUGCCGUAGACCUAUUGUGGCGAUAGGCAAAUUGCAGUGUGUCCAGGUUCUUCCUGAGGCAGGUGUUGAUUCUGGCUAUGCCCAACCUCUCAAAGCAUUUCAUCACCGCAGAUGUGAGUGCUCUUGGACGACAGUCGUUAAGGCAGCUCACGCAGCUCUUCUUGGGCACUGGAAUAAUUGUUGCCCUUUUGAAGCAGGUGGGAACUUCCAACUGUAGACUUCACAGAGAGGGGUGAACUUCUAGAACGGCCUCGAACCAUGUGCGCAGAUGAACCCAACUGCGCUGGAAGUGAAAUCGCCAUGUUAAAGCACAAGGCAGCUCUUAGGGGUGCCAUGGUUACCGUAGCAGUUAGCGUGACGCCAUUACAGUGCAUGGUGUCAGAGUUCAGAGCUCAAUCCCAGUGUCCUCUGCGAGGCGUCUCUGUAUGUCAUCCCGUGGAAUGUGUUGGGUUUCCCCUGGGCGCUCGGGUUUCCUCCCACAGUCCAAAGACACCAGGUAGGUUAAAUGGUCAUUGUAAAUUGUCCCAUAGUUAGGUUAAGGUUAAAUCGAGGUUGUCGGGGGUUGCUGUCCAGCAUGGUUCAAAGGGCCGGUAAGGCCUAAUCUACACUGUAUUGCUAAAUAAAUAAAUAAAUUAGA